rnacentral:rRNA from 1 species
AUUGAACGCUGGCGGCAUGCCUUACACAUGCAAGUCGAACGGCAGCACGGGUGCUUGCACCUGGUGGCGAGUGGCGAACGGGUGAGUAAUACAUCGGAACAUGUCCUGUAGUGGGGGAUAGCCCGGCGAAAGCCGGAUUAAUACCGCAUACGAUCUACGGAUGAAAGCGGGGGACCUUCGGGCCUCGCGCUAUAGGAUUGGCCGAUGGCUGAUUAGCUAGUUGGUGGGGUAAAGGCCUACCAAGGCGACGAUCAGUAGCUGGUCUGAGAGGACGACCAGCCACACUGGGACUGAGACACGGCCCAGACUCCUACGGGAGGCAGCAGUGGGGAAUUUUGGACAAUGGGCGAAAGCCUGAUCCAGCAAUGCCGCGUGUGUGAAGAAGGCCUUCGGGUUGUAAAGCACUUUUGUCCGGAAAGAAAUCCUUGGCCCUAAUACGGUCGGGGGAUGACGGUACCGGAAGAAUAAGCACCGGCUAACUACGUG